CGUUCUUUGGGUUCAGCAUCGGCGUUGUCGUGCGACUAUCCACUUUACAAAGUCUUUGGUAUUUAUUAUAGCCUUUUAUGGCGUGUAUAUCAGUGUAUAUGUACUUGGAUAUUUGUACAAGUAUUGGUUAUACUUGGAUAUUUGGUACAAGUAUUGAUUAUACUUGGUUAUUUGGUGCAAGUAUUGGUUUUAUGUCUACAUUGAUGGUUGGUUUAUACCAGGAGAAUUAUAAUUUCAUUCGUUUAAACGGGCAGUGCAUUAGAAUGAAAUUAAUUUCUCCUGGGUGUUUCAUCAUAUGUAGCAUAGAGGGCGUAAUGUUUUCCCGCUUCAAAAUUAUUUUCGCGGUAUUUUAUUGCCUAUGUAAUCAUUCAGCACGACAUCGUCAAUCUGAGCAGUCGAAUUUUCUUGGUAAAUUUUAAUUCUGGUUAAAGUUUAUUAAGC
rnacentral:lncRNA from 1 species